rnacentral:sRNA from 1 species
AGGGCACUGUCACCUUCCGGCUCCUGCAGCAGCGUGGGGCAGACAUCAGCCUUCAGGUGCGUCGAGAGCCGGUCCCAGAGGCAGUGGGGGCUGGAGAGCUGACCUCGCUCUGUUAUGGGGCACCCCCCCUGCUCUAUUGUGGCACCAGCUCUGGCCAGGUCUGUGUCUGGGACACGCGUGCCGGCCGCUGCUUCCUGUCCUGGGAGGCAGAUGACGGUGGCAUUGGACUGUUGCUGUUCUCAGGCUCUCGAUUGGUCAGCGGCAGCAGCGUGGGACGGCUGCGCCUGUGGGCCGUGGGGGCUGUGUCGGAGCUGAGGUGCAAGGGCUCAGGCGCCAGGUGAGCCAUUCACCCCACGUGUUUGGCUGCAGGUGGCUGUUGGUGUCCCUGACUGGGGCUUGUGGCCAGUGCCCCCCGCAAAGGCCGCCCUGCAGACCGGCCGCUUGCUAGCCCCUCCAAGGGACAGGCUUGGGUGUGGCCUGGGCCUCAUUGGCUGCUGUCGAGUACAGGCACGGGCCCAGAAGCCCCAGCUCCAUGGGCUUUCUCUUCUUCCACCGGGAGGGCACGGCCAGGUCCCGAGACGCAAUGCUGAGGGCCCUGCCUCAGCUGGGGACCCAGCUGGCUCUUGUCGUCGGCCUUGAGACCCACUGUUCUCUCCUCCCCUGCACCCUCAGGUCCAGUUCGGUGUUCAUGGAACACGAGCUGGUGCUGGACGGGGCUGUGGUGAGUGCUAGCUUC